rnacentral:rRNA from 1 species
GUGGGGAAUCUUGCGCAAUGGGCGAAAGCCUGACGCAGCCAUGCCGCGUGAAUGAUGAAGGUCUUAGGAUUGUAAAAUUCUUUCACCGGGGACGAUAAUGACGGUACCCGGAGAAGAAGCCCCGGCUAACUUCGUGCCAGCAGCCGCGGUAAUACGAAGGGGGCUAGCGUUGCUCGGAAUUACUGGGCGUAAAGGGCGCGUAGGCGGACAGUUUAGUCAGAGGUGAAAGCCCAGGGCUCAACCUUGGAAUUGCCUUUGAUACUGGCUGUCUUGAGUUUGGGAGAGGUGAGUGGAACUCCGAGUGUAGAGGUGAAAUUCGUAGAUAUUCGGAAGAACACCAGUGGCGAAGGCGACUCACUGGCCCGUUACUGACGCUGAGGCGCGAAAGCGUGGGGAGCAAACAGGAUUAGAUACCCGUGUAGUCC